AAAAUCGUUCGGCUUGCCUUGAGUUUUGGCGUCGUUGCCCAAUAUUGGUACCAUUUCCGGCGACACGGAAUGCGACAUCGCGUCCAGCGUCUAUGACAUACGGGAGCCAGAAGCAUGAAUAUGCGAGAGAGAUUUGGUUAAGAUCAAGAAAUGAAUUCAUGUAUCGUAUCAAAGCAGACAACAACUCGAUCAAUGCAAAACGAUGUACAACGAUUAGUUCCUUACAUCGUACAAGAAUUAUUGCAUUCAUGUGGGAAAAAUGAUUCCGUCACACAUCAUGGGAGAGAGAAUCUUCAUCGAGUUCCAUCACUCAUCGUGGCGAGAGAAAGGGAGUCUCGCUGUGUCGGGUCCCCCGUGUAUGCCUCGCACGAUCCGGCGCUGUCAAGAUGGGGAGAAAAAAAAAGUAAGGUGAUCACCAUGAUCCCGGGCAAUGCUAUGGAAAAUACACGAGUUUCGAGGAAAGAG